AAGACACUAGUAAAAUUUAAUUACAUGGCCUUGUCAGGGCCAAAUUGUGAGUUAACUUCUCACGUAUCUUA
rnacentral:tRNA from 1 species